GACAUCCAGUGCUACCUCCACCAUUCUUUCAGAUAACUGUGUCUCAGUGCGUCCACCUCCAGAGACUUACAACUCCUGCUCGCAAACUCCUGUUCCAGAAAGCUGCAUUGCCACCUGCAUCAGCUGACAGCAAAAAGACACAGCAGAUUCAUGCAGAUACAUGCAGCACGAGCCUCCACCUCCACCUCCUGUCACUAAGCCAAAGUCGCUGCUUUCACUUGAAGAUUCUGGGGCUCAAAAUUCAGAGACUUUCAACACCCUGCAGUCGCCACCUCCUCUCGUCUACAGCAGACACCACCUGCAGCUCCAUCCUUCACGAACAGUCACCAUUUCCCUCUUCCUGAAAACUUCACAUAGAUGACGUCUCCCUUCUUCAGUCUUCGGUAGCCAAAGUCCAACAAGCUGCAGACACAGCUGAUUCAACAAACAUGAGCUGAUGGAUCACUGAGGUUCCUAAUAACAUCACCAAAGAGUCUCCUGGCCAGCUGCCAAUCAUGGUGAAAUGAUUUGGCAUGUCAGCAAAAGACUUCACAGAAGAUCAUGAUCGUGGUUCUCUGUGGUUGCUGUCAUACCUGUGAGCCCUGCCUUUGCUUUGUCAUCUGGAUUAUUUGUUUGGACCAUUUUUACCUUGACUCCCAGCUGCCUGUUGUUUCCUUCUGUUCCUCUUUAAAAAUACUUUAAUUAAACUUUCCUUCCUUCACUUUAUCCCUCCCUCUGCGUCUGCAUUUUGGGUCCCGAUCUUUGAUCUGACUCUAACAGAAUAGCAAAAGUCCUCAGAUAAAAAUAAAACUGUCCAAAACACAGUAAACCAUAUUUAAAACAGAAUAAGACCUGACAGAUAAGGUGAGACAGAAGGUUCUAACAGACUGAGAGAGCACAAUUAAAAGCUCAGGUACUUUGUGAAGCUGUUGGAGGUGUCGUAUGUAAGAAAAAAUGCAUUGUCAGUGGCAGAAGACAAUUAUUUUUAUUUUAGACUACUGACUGUACAACGUUCAGUGUUCAACAGUCAUUGAAAUUCAUGUUCAUGAAGAAAAUCGAGUUAAUGAAGCCAUCUCAU